rnacentral:lncRNA from 1 species
AGAUAGUGAACCAUAAUACAAGCAUUUGCUUGCUUCCACGACUCGCAAAUGUAACUUAUAUGUCAUAUGAAGAUAAAUUUACACUCGACCAUAUCACAAAAGAAAAUCAACUAAACACUCGACCAUAUCAGCCCUACCUAAAGUUAGGAUCUUUUUUUUUUUUUCUAAAAUAAUAUGAAUCCCACCUAAUUUUUACCCUCCCCUUCUCCUCCCAUUCUUUCAUCCACCAUUCAACACCUUCCUUUAUCCUAAAUCACCUCUGCCUCCAUUAGAAAAGAACAAAAUUACCAAUAUAUUAUUGAAUUGUGUGGAAUCCCCGGCUGCCUCCUCCUCCCUGCAAACCAACACUGACAGCUAUUGAUUUACUCAAACCAAGUACAUAUUGAAAUAAUUAUAAACAUCUCACUUUUAAUGAAAAUACUUUAGUAGAUUACAACAUAAAUUUAAAUGAACAUCCAAUUCGGAUCCAAAAUUCUGAUGUGAAUGUCAAAUAUUAUUUUAAGAAAUUGUAAAAUUAUAAAGAAAAAAGACCCACGCUGACAUACGCCAUAUCCACGCCGGCAACAGCUUAUCUGCGUCCCCUUCAGUUCACAGUAAACCUCGGAAAAAGAAGAUCAUAAAAAAUGUGGAAAAGAGCUACUAGUCGUAGUAACCAGAGUCAGCUUUCACAGGUGAAGCAGAGGACUCGGAAGUUGAUAGGGGACGUAAAAGAGGGGCAAAAGGAAUUAAGAAGAUGAAUGCGGGAGNNNNNNNNNNNNNNNNNNNNNNNNNNNNNNNNNNNNNNGGGGGGGUUUCUUGGCGUUGGUUUUGGGUGGAAUGAAGA